rnacentral:misc_RNA from 1 species
GCUUCGUGUUGGUGAUCUGGAUCGCUCUAUCCAGUUCUACGAAAAGGUAUUUUGGAACUUUUUUGGCAAUUGUAUAAUCCAAUUACAAAUGAACUCAUUGUCACUUGUGUGUAUUUCAAGUUUAUGCAUAAUUUAAAUACAGAGUCAAUAUGAGAAGACAUUUGUCAAAAAGACCGGCUUUAUGCAAUCUUUACAAAUUUCAUACUAUCCAUGUCGUGGGUUUAGUUCACACCAUAUCUUGCUUUUUCACUAUUAUUUUUCUAGGUUGGAAGGUUGGGAAAAUGAUACCAGAACUUUGGAAGCAUUCAGAUUGAUUUAUUCAAAACACAAUUAUUUAAUAUCAGGAAAUAACUUAACUCCAUAGCUAGUCCAGUUAUUAGGAAAUCACAUUGUGCAUUGAUACACUAGGUUCCAAAAUGUUUAAGACAGUAGAGGAACUGUAGAAAUGAUCCAAUAACAGGUUUCAUGCGGCUAGUGGUUUUCCUUCUGCAGGCCUUGGGCAUGAAGCUAUUAAGGAGAAUUGAUAAUCCUCAAUACAAGGUAAUCAAUGCUAUGACUGACUUCAUUUGGUCUUUAAUAACUUAAAAUAUCUAUUGGCAGGAGGUGUGCUUACAAUGAGAAUUGGGACAAGCUUCUUUGGGUUGCCUCAUUUUGUUGCCUGCAUUUUGCAGUAUACCUUGGCAAUGAUUG